rnacentral:rRNA from 1 species
GACGAACGCUGGCGGCGUGCUUAACACAUGCAAGUCGAACGGAAAGGCCCUGCUUUUGUGGGGUGCUCGAGUGGCGAACGGGUGAGUAACACGUGAGUAACCUGCCCUUGACUUUGGGAUAACUUCAGGAAACUGGGGCUCAUACCGGAUAGGAGCUCCUGCUGCAUGGUGGGGGUUGGAAAGUUUCGGCGGUUGGGGAUGGACUCGCGGCUUAUCAGCUGGUUGGUGGGGUAGUGGCUUACCAAGGCUUUGACGGGUAGCCGGCCUGAGAGGGUGACCGGCCACAUUGGGCGGGGGAUGCGGCCCAGACUCCUACGGGAGGCAGCAGUGGAGAAUAUUGCACAAUGGGCGGAAGCCUGAUGCAGCAACGCCGCGGGCGGGAUGACGCCCGUCGGGUUGGAGACCGGUUUCGCCUGGGACGAAGCGCGGGUGACGGUCUUGGGUAAGGAAGCACCGGCUUACCACGUG